rnacentral:lncRNA from 1 species
CAAAGAGAAGAAGCCAGACGCUGUAAAUUCAGUCCCGCCCGCUGCUGCCCCACAGAUGAGCUCGGCAGCUCAGUCCGAUUCAGUUCCCCAGGCCGACUCAGACAACCAGCUCAAGACAGCACCUAAAUCAGACACCGCCACCAAACAAUCAGGUUCCAAUCCCACCCUGUUCCAUGAGUUUUGUCCACUCACUACACGCAGCCCCGGAGAGCUGGACUAUGGUUCCGGCCAGGGCGCUCUCUGUUUCAUCAACCCUCUUUUCUUGCAGUCCCAGAACGCUUUGUCCAGACGGCACAUGUUCAAACACAGCCUCAAGGUUCGGAUUUCCACAGAGUCAUCAACCCUGCUUUCGCCCCCACUCGCUCCUCCACCUCCACCACCUCUAAUGCCUAAAACCAAACGACAAUGUAAAGCUCAGAAACAGGGACAAGGAACCGUCCAUCCCUUGAAAGGUCUUUUACAUGAUGAGAACCCAAGUCAGGACACCCCCAGUGAGGCCCAAGUUCAGCCUCCGUCAGUAACUCCUCACCUCCAGCCUAACACACAGGAGCAGGGCCAAACACAAAUGGAACCAAGCCAAAGGGAAGCUGGAAUCAGGGGGGCUACAACUCAGCUACCAACAGUCAUGGAGAAUCUUCCAGACGACUCAGACUACACACAGCCGUCUCCAAUGAUCAAUUUCUCCCAUUCUCCCUCACUCCCUCCUUACCUCUCCCCAUCGGGUUCUCCCAAAGCACCUCCCCUUUUCCCCAAAGUAUCUCCGUCCCUCUUUCCUCAUGACUCUCCUGGUGCUUCCCCCUCCCUCUCGCCUCAUCAAUCCCCAUCUCUUUCUCCCAAGGCUCCCUUUUCCCUCUCUCCAUAUGACUCACCCAGCGCUUCACCCUCUCUUUCACCUUACCGGUCCCCAUCUCCUCCUCAGGUCCCUUUCACUCUCUCUCCCUUCACCUCUCCAUCCUUCCCUCAGCUGGCAAAGCAGGCCUAUCAUACACCUGCUACUCCUUCAAGACCAGAUCAGCAAAGAUCAGAGAGAGAGGCCGAGGAGGAGGGAGCAGGUGCAGAGGAAAAUAAGGAUGAAGAUGAUGAGACAAAUGAGGAACUGCACACAAAGAGGGAAGAGGAGGAUCUGGUUUUACAGACGACUGCUGCUUCUCUAAAUGACACAGACAGCUGUGGUUCCUUCAGCAGUCUUGAGGGAGCAGCAGAGACUCCACCUCACUCACCCCACAAACUGGACAAUGGGACAAGC